AUAUACAUAUACGGCAUAUACGUCGGUGAAGUUAAUGGUCAUCGUUAAU
rnacentral:guide_RNA from 1 species